rnacentral:rRNA from 1 species
UACAGAGACUGCAAGCGUUAUUCGGAUUCACUGGGCGUAAAGGGUGCGCAGGCGGUCGGGUGUGUCAGAUGUGAAAUCCCGAGGCUCAACCUCGGAACUGCGUCUGAAACUACUCGACUAAGAGUACUGGAGAGGGUAACGGAAUUCACGGUGUAGCAGUGAAAUGCGUAGAUAUCGUGAGGAACACCAGAGGCGAAGGCGGUUACCUGGACAGUUACUGACGCUCAGGCACGAAAGCAUGGGGAGCAAAAGGG